AAUCAACGCUGGCGGCGUGCCUCAGACAUGCAAGUCGAACGCGAAAGUUUCCUUCGGGAAGCGAGUAGAGUGGCGCACGGGUGAGUAACACGUAAGUAAUCUACCUCGGGGUGGGGAAUAACAUCGGGAAACCGAUGCUAAUACCGCAUAAUGCAGCGGCUUCUUAUGAAGACAGUUGUUAAAGCAUUUAUGUGCCGGAGAGGAGCUUGCGGCAGAUUAGCUAGUUGGUAAGGUAAUGGCUUACCAAGGCAACGAUCUGUAGCCGACCUGAGAGGGUGGUCGGUCACACUGACACUGAAUAACGGGUCAGACUCCUACGGGAGGCAGCA
rnacentral:rRNA from 1 species